GUAGUGAUAAAUAGACACUCCUCUAUAGAUUUUACAUAGAUUGCUAGGGAAAGUGCUGGAACUGAUCUCAUUCAACUAUUUUUUUUUUUUUUUUUUACAACUCACGUUGAAGAGGAAGUGCACAAUGAGCUCUGCAGGUUUGCCAGUGACACUAAUCUCUUCCAGGUGCUGAAACGCUAAGGUAAUGGGGAAACGCUGCAGGAAGCUCCUACAGCCCUUCCUAGGCACGCCAGGGAGCGGGCCUUCAGGGGCAGGAGUGCAGGGGAGGACGCGAGAGCAGCGCCAGGCCAGCCCCGCUGCCCUGUGUUCUCACGGGCUGCAGCGAAUGUUCUCCCCAGGCUCCUGCAGCUCCAGGUACUGGCGUGGGUGGCAGGGAGAGAGGUAGGGUGAGGUGCUGGGGGCCUGACUUGCCGGGGGGCUCCUGUAGCCGCCCCCCUCCUUUCUAGUCUGCACACAGAAACUGAGUUUUCCUGGAUAACCUGAGGCUUUCCCUCCUGUGCAGCGCUUGGCUCUGUGGGUACCUCCACCGGUUCUCUCUUAUUCUUGCCAACUGUGUGAACGGAUGACUUUCAUUGGCCUCUGACCUCAGCCUUUCUCUCUGCUUGGACAGAGCUCGGUGUGCCACACCCUCUGGCAUCAUUUGGUUUCUCCUACUUCUUCCAGUUAACCUGGCCCACGGGACAUCCCCUUCUCCCCAACCCUACUCCACUCCAACCAGCAUUUGCUAGGAAGACAGAGAAGCCCUGCCUCCAAGCCUGUCUCUCAAAGCAAGCAGAUUCUCACCAUUCUGCUAGAUCUCUGGGCAGGGCUCCCCUUCUCGCCUUCCCUGAUUCUUUUAGUCUGCUGGGAUCUUCACCUCAGCUUAUCCUGCCACAAUUUCAGACGUAUUUAUUUCAUUUGUUUGAUUUCACCUUGGCACUUUCCCCAUCCUAACCCCAAAUGGUUCUGAUCCUUGUGUUUAGGCACCACAACCAAAGAUAACAAAAAAUUCUUCUGAUGUUUAGUUUCCAGGCACCAACGAACCUACCAGUCAGGCCUGGUCUCCACAGACUGAGAAGUUAGGUCAGAGGAUAUCAGGAAAGAGAAAGGCUUCUCUUUCUCUAAAGAUAAGAGAUUUAGCUUCAUCCUAUGGUACAUAUUAAUUACUAUAUGUUAAGGUAUUCCUAUGCUAUAGCCUUAGGAGGGCCAAACUUGCUUAAGUUUAAAUUGCUGGGAGGGCAACCAGUAAAGAAUUGAUUCGGGCUAGGAUAUCACUGAGUGAUAAAAACCAGUAGUGAAACCUCGCUGAGAAACAGGAUGUUUGUGUGGUGCCAAAAUAUCACCUACAGAACUACUUGCUAGUUCACAAGGAAAAUAAGUAGCUAUAAAAUAAAAGUCUGUGAUGGAGUGACCAAAUUUAGCAUCAUUCAUAUAAGGGCCACAAGACAUUAUGGGCUUCCUGAUGUCAUGUGAUAUGAAAUGUUCUUGCCCCAACUAGUUAACCUUAAUCUGAUCAGCUCAAAUCUCUCUCUACAUUUUCCACAUCCCUUUUCUCUGAAUUUUAUCCUAAGACCUCUUUAGACACAUAUUAGGCACCAAUAAGUAUGUGCUGAAUGAUUCAUGUGUUAAGAGUGUAUUAGUUUCCUGGAGCUGCUGUAACAAGGAACCACCACCUGGGUGGCUCAAUGCAAUGGAAACGUAUCGUCUCACAGUUCUGGAGGCCAACAUGUCAGUAGGGCCAUUGUCCCUCAGGCAGCGCUAAAGAGGAGAUCCUUCCUUGUCUCGCCCUAGCUUCUGGUGGCCCAGGCGUUCCUUGGCUUGUGGUAGCAUCACUGCAAACUCUGCUUGCUUCACAAGGCCUCUUCUCUGUGUCUCUGUGUCUCUCUGUGUUCUCUCCUCAUCUUACAAGGACAUCAGUUGUUUGAUUUAGGGCUUCGUCUACAUCCAUAAUGAGUUCAUCUCAAGACAAGAUCCUUAACUAAUGACAUCUGCAAAGACCCUUUUAAAAAAUAAGAUCCUAUUCUAAAGUUUUGGGUGGAUAUGAAUUUGGCAGCGUUGGGGAACAACACUGUUCCACCUGCGACACAGAUCUCUUUCAGGAUUGAAAAUGACAGAAAACCCAAUCUAACGAGCUGAGACAAAUUAUUAGUACCAAUCCUAGCAGCAUAUAUUUAGUACCUCUCCCUGAACAAUACUAGCAAAAAAAUCUUAUGCAUGUCAUUGGCCUUGAUCAGGUUACAUGUCCAUCUCUAAACUGACCACCGCAGCCAGGCCUGAGUCUAUGCCGCAGCUCCAGAGCCAGGAAUGGGUUCAGUUCCACUGAAAGGACACGGACUAAGGAGGUCAUCCCCAGAUACUAUUUUCAGGAGAAGGGGUAAUGGGUGCUGGGUAGUAAACAAUGUAGCCAUCCACUAGAAUGGUCUUCCUUCAUAGUCAGCGAGCUCUUGGGAGGCAGUGAUUCUGGUUGUCAUGUCGGUAUUCCAAAGCCUUGAAGAGCAACAUGCCUUCAAAUAAAUAUUUGCUGAGUUGUUUUUGAAUUUUUAACAUGACUCAGUCUCUGAGGGCUUUAUCUGCUAUACAUCUGAGAUCCAGACUCUGGGCCAGGGUGACCUCUCCCCAUUGUAAGUCCCUUUCUAGGUAGACCAGCUGGCCACCUGUUGGUAACCAUUCAUUCUUAAAAAUGUCUGUGAAACAGAACCAGGAAAGAAGGGGUUGGCUCAUCUCAUGGUAGGGUCAAAGCAUGCCAGGAGAGAAACACAAGUGGUCAGUGAAAGUUCUGCACACACAAUCUCUUCAUCUGCAGGGUUGGAGUAUGCUUGCCCUCACGUACCCUGGAGCGCUGGCGGGGAAGUUGGGAGUCGGUUGCUAUGAGGACGUCUACUUCAGUAAAACGAGGGUUGAAGGUUCUAUGGGCUCUGAGGACUUCCCAUAAAACAUAACAGAUUGAACGUGUGCACAUGCCCCAGCCUCCUUCCCAAACCCUGCUAAACUGGUCUUGCUCUGUCGCCCUGGCCAGAGUUCCGUGGUGU